AUUUGAUGAUGUGGGCAUUUUCGGAGUAAAUCUCUAAAUUUCUCCCAGGUUUCAUGAAAUUCUUCCCCAUCAGAUUGGAAGAAGCUCGUGAUCGCACGCCUAAAUU